UCUUUUUAUUACCAUGUAAAUUCAUGGAUUGUCAUCAACGGAUAUAGUUGUCCAUUUUGUCGGAAGGGAGUUAUCACUAAACAAAUGACUGCAAUAGAAGAAAUGGUUGCAAGUGAGUACAAUUAGCCAGACCCUCAUCUUUGUGACAAGAUCUUGAAGUUGGUCAUUUGUGAAGCGUUCUACUUUGCUAUUAGUUGCAGUUUUAGUUAUUGCUCUCUCAAUAUAUUCUUUUUCUUUCUUUCUUUCUUUUUUUCCAAAGGAUGAUCAGUGUAAUAAUUAAGCCUCAUAAUUUCUGUGUUUGGAUCCAAGUUGUAUAUAAAUGUCACAUUAUUAAGAUUUCAUUUUGUAUAUGUACAAGUAAAAGAUUUCAUUUUUAA